rnacentral:tRNA from 1 species
AAGGUUUUAAGUUAAAAUAAACUCUUAACCUUCAAAGUUAAAUAUAAAUUAAAAUUUAAACCUUA